UUUUCGUCAUCUUCAUGACUCGUUGGUUUGACCAUGAACUCCAAAAUUGUUUCUCCAUCUCAUCAUCUUCUUUAGAAAUUGUUUCUCCGUCUCAACAUCUUCUUCAGAAAUUGUUUCUCCGUCUCAUCAUCUUCUUCCUAUCAGUUUCAGUGUCAGUCUGAGCGCGAUCUUCUUAUAAAUGGCCUUCGCAGUUGGCGGCAAUGAGAAACUCAAAUCCGAAGCGUCAAUGGGAGUGCUCGGUCUUUUGGGAGUCAUUGGCCCCGUUGAUCGCCGUGUCUCCGUCGAAACCCUAGCCGGCUCGUCAUCGAGGCGAGUAUUUGGAUGGUACAAUUCGUAAUGGCAAUGCGUGGCGAAAGAGGAGAAACGCUCAUUUACUUGGUUUCUUUCGCCGAAUUGCUUAUGAAUGAUUUGUGUUUGCGACUUGCGAGUGACUUGGCCGAGCUUUAUCCUUAGGUUCAACAAAGGAGUGAAGUGUCAAGUAUUGCACUGCAACUGCAUGUGGUUGCCAUGACCAGGAUCGCGUGAUAGAGGGGUCAAGGUAUUCUGCAGCGGACCACGGGCUUCUUUAUCGUAUAGUUCAAUUCAGCGCUCCAACAAUUGAGAUGUAUUGCCAAUGUUUUGCGUUGGAUCAGAUAAAGAAUCUUGCAAAGCCAUUGGUCAAUAGACUGCGACUAUUCUGAUUUUCAAGUAUACUGAUCAUGCUGCUUCUAGGAAGAUGUUUGAUGAUUUGGAAACUUUA